rnacentral:tRNA from 1 species
GCGAGUGUGGCGGAAAGGCAAACGCGCGGCGCUUAGGACGCCGUGGGGUAACCCUUGCAGGUUCGACUCCUGUCACUCGCACCA